AGUCGAGCGAUGAACACCUUCGGGUGUGAAUUAGCGGCGAACGGGUGAGGAACACGUGAAGAAUCUGCCUUCAACUCUGGGAUAACUCCGGGAAACCGGGGCUAAUACCGGAUAUGAGCCUCGAUCGCAUGAUUGGGGCUGGAAAGUUUUUCGGUUGAAGAUGACUUCGCGGCCUAUCAGCUUGUUGGUGAGGUAAUGGCUCACCAAGGCGACGACGGGUAGCCGGCCUGAGAGGGCGACCGGCCACACUGGGACUGAGACACGGCCCAGACUCCUACGGGAGGCAGCAGUGGGGAAUAUUGGGCAAUGGAGGAAACCCUGACCCAGCGACGCCGCGUGAGGGAUGAAGGCCUUCGGGUUGUAAACCUCUUUCAGUAGGGAAGAAGCGAAAGUGACGGUACCUACAGAAGAAGCACCGGCUAACUAUGUGCCAGCAGCCGCGGUAAUACAUAGGGUGCAAGCGUUGUCCGGAAUUAUUGGGCGUAAAGAGCUCGUAGGUGGUUCGAUACGUCGGAUGUGAAAAUCAGGGGCUCAACCCCUGACCUGCAUCCGAUACGGUCGAGCUAGAGUUUGGUAGGGGAGACUGGAAUUCCUGGUGUAGCGGUGGAAUGCGCAGAUAUCAGGAGGAACACCGAUGGCGAAGGCAGGUCUCUGGGCCAAUACUGACACUGAGGAGCGAAAGCGUGGGGAGCGAACAGGAUUAGAUACCCUGGUAGUCCACGCCGUAAACGGUGGGCGCUAGUUGUGCGAACCUUCCACGGUUUGUGCGACGCAGCUAACGCAUUAAGCGCCCCGCCUGGGGAGUACGAUCGCAGAUUAAAACUCAAGGAAUUGACGGGGCCCGCACAGCAGCGGAGCAUGCG
rnacentral:rRNA from 1 species